rnacentral:rRNA from 1 species
GACGAACGCUGGCGGCGUGCUUAACACAUGCAAGUCGAACGGAAAGGUCCUGCUUUUGUGGGGUGCUCGAGUGGCGAACGGGUGAGUAACACGUGAGUAACCUGCCCUUGACUUUGGGAUAACUUCAGGAAACUGGGGCUAAUACCGGAUAGGAGCUCCUGCUGCAUGGUGGGGGUUGGAAAGUUUCGGCGGUUGGGGAUGGACUCGCGGCUUAUCAGCUUGUUGGUGGGGUAGUGGCUUACCAAGGCUUUGACGGGUAGCCGGCCUGAGAGGGUGGCCGGCCACAUUGGGACUGAGAUACGGCCCAGACUCCUACGGGAGGCAGCAGUGGGGAAUAUUGCACAAUGGGCGGAAGCCUGAUGCAGCAACGCCGCGUGCGGGAUGACGGCCUUCGGGUUGUAAACCGCUUUCGCCUGUGACGAAGCGUGAGUGACGGUAAUGGGUAAAGAAGCACCGGCUAACUACGUG